AUCCAGCCAUGCCGCGUGUGUGAAGAAGGUCUUCGGAUUGUAAAGCACUUUAAGUUGGGAGGAAGGGCAGUAAGUUAAUACCUUGCUGUUUUGACGUUACCGACAGAAUAAGCACCGGCUAACUUCGUGCCAGCAGCCGCGGUAAUACGAAGGGUGCAAGCGUUAAUCGGAAUUACUGGGCGUAAAGCGCGCGUAGGUGGUUCGUUAAGUUGGAUGUGAAAGCCCCGGGCUCAACCUGGGAACUGCAUCCAAAACUGGCGAGCUAGAGUACGGUAGAGGGUGGUGGAAUUUCCUGUGUAUCGCCCCU
rnacentral:rRNA from 1 species